CCGACUUUUCUUGUAAUCAAGGUGGCUUUAAGAAUACAAAGAGGAAAUCAAUCAUCAUUAAAAAAAAUCUCACCUAUACUCGAAGGUCACACAAUCAGAUUACUUUCACAAUGAGGCAUUGAUGAUGUCAGACACCUUGAAUAAAAUGAAUAAGUUAUUAGGACCAAACUAUCGCUUGAGUGAGAAAAUUCUCUACGUGCAAAAUGAAACGCUUUUAGUGAUCGAAGAUCUUGCGCCUCUAGGUUUUCGAAUGGCCGAGCGUUCGUUUGGUUUUGAUCUACCCCAUUCCGUAUUGGCCACUUCGUGGACUAGCCAGGUUUCAUGCAGCCUCUGUAGCCCUAUGCGAGAGGAUAAAUCACCACAUAUGAGUUGUAACAAUUAGUUGUAACGUCUCAUUACAAUUAUUAAAAAUUCAGGUCAAUAGCA
rnacentral:sRNA from 1 species